CUCCCGCUUUGGAUAAAUAGGUUUCAUGCUGAAACAAAUAUUCUCACAGAUAUUUACACAGUGUGGUGGGGUGCUUUUAUGUUUAAAAUCGUUAUAUACAGGUUAGACUGAUUUUAAAACAAAUGUUGAUAUCUUUUUAUAAUAUUUACAAAAAAAAAACGGUGCGGGAAAUGGACAUGAUUACAUUUCCAGAUGCGGGAAGCGGGAA
rnacentral:lncRNA from 1 species